rnacentral:rRNA from 1 species
AACAAACGCUGGCGGCGUGCUUCAUACAUGCAAGUCGAACGAGAAAGUCCUGCUUCGGCGGGAUGAGUAAAGUGGCGAACGGGUGAGUAACACGUGGAUAACCUGCCUCGAAGUUGGGGAUAAGCUCCCGAAAGGGGGUCUAAUACCGAAUGAUAUCCUUAAAGGGCAUCUUUUAAGGAUCAAAGGCCCGCAAGGGUCGCUUUGAGAUGGAUCCGCGCUCCAUUAGCUUGUUGGUGAGGUAAAAGCUCACCAAGGCUACGAUGGAUAGCCGGCCUGAGAGGGUGUACGGCCACACUGGGACUGAGAUACGGCCCAGACUCCUACGGGAGGCAGCAGUAGGGAAUAUUGCGCAAUGCCCGAAAGGGUGACGCAGCAACGCCGCGUGGGUGAUGAAGCUUUUCGGAGUGUAAAGCCCUGUCAGAGGGGAAGAAAAUUUGCCCGAUUCGUCGGGCAGACUGACGGUACCUUCAGAGGAAGCUCCGGCCAACUCCGUGCCAGCGGCCGCGGUAAUACGGGGGGAGCAAGCGUUGUUCGGAAUUACUGGGCGUAAAGGGUGCGCAGGCGGGUUGGUAAGUCAGACGUGAAAACUCCGGGCUCAACCCGGAGCGUGCGUUUGAAACUGCCUACCUUGAGUACGGGAGAGGGAAGUGGAAUUCCUGGUGUAGCGGUGAAAUGCGUAGAUAUCAGGAAGAACUCCGGUGGCGAAAGGCGGCUUCCUGGCCCGAUACUGACGCUGAGGCACGAAAGCUAGGGUAGCAAACAGGAUUAGAUACCCUGGUAGUCCUAGCCGUAAACGAUGGGCACUAGGUGUUGGAGGAUCGGCCCCUUCAGUGCCGCAGUUAACGCAUUAAGUGCCCCGCCUGGGGAGUACGACCGCAAGGUUGAAACUCAAAGGAAUUGACGGGGGCCCGCACAAGCGGUGGAGCAUGUGGUUUAAUUCGACGCAACGCGAAGAACCUUACCUGGGCUUGACAUUCCGAGGAAAGCCUCAGAGAUGAGGCCCCCCAGCAAUGGGUCUCGGAACAGGUGCUGCAUGGCUGUCGUCAGCUCGUGCCGUGAGGUGUUGGGUUAAGUCCCGCAACGAGCGCAACCCCUGCCCUUAGUUGCCACCUCCCCUUUUUGGGGGGAGCACUCUAAGGGGACUGCCAGUGAUAAGCUGGAGGAAGGUGGGGAUGACGUCAAGUCCUCAUGGCCCUUACGUCCAGGGCUACACACGUGCUACAAUGGUCGGCAUAGCGGGCUGCAAUACCGCAAGGUGGAGCUAAUCCCUAAAGCCGGCCUCAGUUCAGAUUGGAGUCUGCAACUCGACUCCAUGAAGGAGGAAUCGCUAGUAAUCGCGGAUCAGCAGGUCGCGGUGAAUACGUUCCCGGGCCUUGUACACACCGCCCGUCAAGUCAUAGAAGUUGGUAGUACCCGAAGUCGCCGAUCCAACCCGCAAGGGAGGUAGGUGCCGAAGGUAAAACCAAUGACUGGGACU